UCUUCGUCCUUGAAAAUAUCAAGUAGAAAAUGGUCUUAAAAUCCAGGAGUAGGACUCACGACUGUCCAUGUUCGGAAAAUAUUGCUGCAGUGAGUCUAUCACGGCAGUUAAAUGUUGAACCACGGAAUUUUCAAACGUGAUUUUCUCUUGUUUAUUAUUUACUAAUUGCUCACUUAGUUGUGUAAACAUUGACACAUCACCAGCUUGAACUCUGCGUUGGUAAAGUUCCAAUUUGCGCAAAAAACUUGCGAUUUUAUCCUGCAACGUCAAAAUAUUCGUUUCAUUUCCUUGCAGUGAAAUAUUCAGACUAUUAAUUUCAGUGAAAAAAUCAGCAAGGUACGCCAUUUUUAGAAUAAAUGUUUGGUCUUUAAUUUUUGCAUAAUAUUCUUUUUCUUUUUGUGUUCUCUGAUUUUCAAAAAACAAUCCAAUUUCUUCUCGUAAUUCGUAAACCCUUGUGGCGACACCUGCCACGUGACAGAUGACAGAUGACAGAUGUCGCACAUAGACUAUCGACGAGCAAAUCAACGGAUGACGUCACAAAUAUCCUGCAUCGCACAUAUGAAGUUUGCAUACGAAUUAACACGGAUAGAAAAUCCCAACGAACAACAGUUGGGCAGAAAGCCCGCCAGGCAUGAUCACCUCGCCUGGUCGGAGGAUCCUCCUUUUCUUAGGGAACUUUACUCGCUGUUCCCUAAAGUGGUGACCCCGACGUGAUUGAACCCACCUUCACGGAGCAGAUCCCUCCACCACUGCAGCGGAUCUUGAUGCCGGCUGAUCAACGGCUCCUGUAAAUAUAUUUAUCAAAUUCCACGAUUCCGGCUGCUGUUGGAUUUUCUGGUAUCAAUCGCGAAACUUCGACAUCGAAGUCCUCCCAAAUAGGGAAGAUGCAAUAUUUUUAUUUAUGUUUUCAUUGUAAAGCAUUCCAUGUAGAAUAGACCACAAGUAUUUUAAAAAUUAAAAAAACCCUAAUUUUUUUGCAAAAAAUGCGUUUUGAAACUGACAGUUUAAAUUUUCGCGCGGAAACGGACCUAUAGUUCCGAUGACGUCAUACCUGUUUGUCAAUGUUUGUCACUGUUCAAUGUUUUUUACCGUCGCUGGCUUUUUUCAAAAUUUUCUCUAUUUUCAAGAUAUAUUUUGAUAAAACUAAAAAUGGACAUCCCAUCAACAUCGGGUGAUUACAACAACAGCACCAAAAAUAGCCGCAUUGACUCAUGUUUCGUGCCAUUGUGUCCAUCAACUUCAACCAAAUUUCCUAAUAAAUUGUUUUUAACUGGGCCUUCUGAUCCCAAACUGAGAAAAAAGUGGUUCCAAGCUGCGAGGAGAACGGAUAAGUAUUCUCCAAAGACCAUCAUUCGAUGCUGUGAAGACCACUUUGAUUUGGAGAACGAUGUCGAAAAUUGGAUGAAGUUUAAAAUGUUUGGAGGAAAACUUUUCCUGAAAAAAGACGUGGUACCACAUAUUUUUGAGUGCCAGAAUAGAAUGAUGCCACCAAAACCCACUUAAACCCAGUAGGUAUUCAUGAAAAGGAAAAGACGUGAAAUUCUUGAGAGCAUUGAAAGUACACCAGAUCCAUCUUCAGAAUGUUCAUUAAACACCGAAACACCUGAUUCACAGAAUAUUGAAAUAUGUCCAAUAUCCAAUGAUAAAAGUGUACAAGUGGCUAUAUAUCCCUAUAAACGAUCGAGGUAAGUUCAAGCAGAAAUAAAAAUACCCCAAAAGACUGUAGCUUUGUCAACUAAGCAAGUCAAUGUAAGGGACUGCAAAACAUCGCCAAUAAAAGUGAAUACGUAUAAAUUUAUAUACUCAGACUCCAGUGACAUUGACAGUAUCCGGAGUUUAUUUAAACCUGAAGAAGAGACUGGUAGCACUUCAGAAUCUGUUUUAAGUGAACGUAAACAAUCAAAACAGUUACGUGAUAUAACAAUGAGUCGGAUAAUGACACAGCCUCAGUUAUAUAUAGGGAUUCCACUUUCUUGUAUUAUUCUUAUAGAACUUCUGCAAAAACAUUUAAAUUGUAAACUGUA